rnacentral:lncRNA from 1 species
UUUUCACUUAGAUUUGUCCUUGAAUUAUUCUGAAAUAUGAUUAAAAAUUGUAAAAUUCCUUGGUCAUCCAGCCCAUUAUGAGAAAUAUGAAAGUAUUAAAAGACUUUCUUGUCAUGUGUUAAAGAAUAAUAAUCAAGGAUAAAUUACAUAUAAAUUUGAUAUCACAGACUAAGUUCACAAACUGACCUUGUUCAGGUUGAUGAAUUUCCCCUUAAUAGCCUGAGUCUCUAGCUGUACAGUUAAGCACAAUCUAGGUUUUCUAAGCAGAAAUCAGAUUUUAUUAGAUUUUGUAUGUCUCUUGAAGACUUAACUUCUGGCAAGUACUCUCUUAUGUACAGUGAUAUGUAAGUUGGGUGGGAGGGGGAAUAUGUUUCCUGCCCUUUAGAAGUAUAUAUAUUAUGGAGAGAGCCAUACAUACAAGUAAGAAUGAUACAAAAGUCUAGCCCAGCACUGUGGCUGGCCCACGCUUGUAAUCCCAGCAGCUCAGGAGGCUGAGGCAGGAGUAUCGUGGGUUCAAAGACAGCCUCAGUAACAGCAAGGUGCUAAGCAAUUCAGUGAGACCCUGUCUCUAAAUAAAAUACAAAAUAGGGCUGAAAAUGUGGCUCAGUGGUUGAGUGCCCCUGAGUUUAAUCCCCGUACCCCCUCCCCCCGACAAAAAAAAGAUACAAAGUCUGUUCUAUUAAAAAUACAAAGGUUAAAAAAAAAUACAAAGGUUGAAAGAAAAAGAAAAAUCUAGAAAUUCAUUCAAAUAUCUCUUAACUGACAAGUGUAAGUAAGCAUUUACCACUACUAAUAGUUCUAAUUGCUAUGAAGCAGGGCAAAACCAACUUUGGCUUAAUUGCCGCUCAAAAGCAGUGUUAGUCUAGCAUUAGCUGAUCCUGUGGGAUUCAGGUGAGGUGUAUUUUCUUUUGUUGUUGUUGCCUUGGUUUUGCUUAUGCUUUUACAGGUUUAGGGCCCUGUUGAUAUGUAUUCAUAAAAUCACAUCUCAACAAAAUGUGUUGAUUUGCCUACUGAAUGCCUCUGUUUCCAUGGGGCCUUUUAGGUUGUGUGUCUGCCUUUCUAAUAAUUAGUAUGAGAGAGAAAUGAAUUCCUGCUUUGGGGAUUUGAAAAGAAUUAAAGGAUAAUUCAUGCAUUAUAGAUGGAACCUGGGGGUGACUGGGAGGCAGGAGGCUCUGCAUUGCAAGGAAAUAAGGCAAUGUUUAGGAAAAGCCAGAAGUCAAAGCAGCAGAAAUACUGAGCACAGAGCAAGUAGUUGGCAGACUGGGGUGUGAAUUUAGAAAAAUUUAAAUUUUGUACUGAGGCAUUUGGCUAGGUUUCCUACUGGAAUAGAAGUACUGUAAUUGUGUUAAGAAUCUUGUCUGUUACUACAUGAAUGAGAGUAUAUUUGUUACUUUGAGAAGUUUCUGAAGAACAUGAAUUUUUGCCUGAUUGGAGAAAAAAUGCCACAGCCUUUUUAUGAACUCUAUAAUGAGCUUUUUGAGUGGGGAAAUUAAAAACAACAACAAAAACAUAGCAGGCUGUUAUGAUUUGGCUAUGUGGUAGCCUCCCAAAGCUCUGUAUAUUUUAAUGCAGGAAUAUUAAGAGGUGAAGUGCUUAGAUUAUCAGAGCUGUAACCUAAUCAGCCUAUCCUAGUUUAAAUGAGCUGACUGGGUGGUAACUGUAGGCAGGUGGGGCCUGGCUGGAGGAAAGGGUCACUGGAAGCUGCGCUGGAAGGGUACAUUUUCUUUUUGGCCCCUUCCCCAUUCUCUCUCCCUCUCUGGUUCUUGAACCCAUCAUGAGCUUUCCUCCGCUGGGACCUUCCCCCAUGAUGCGGCCUCACCUUCAGCCCAGACCAAUGGAGUGGGUGGACCAUGGACUGAGAUCUCUGAAACCCUGAACCCCAAAUAGACUUUCCCUCCUCUAAAUUGUUCUUGCAGGGUAUUUUGCUUUCGGUGGACAAACAGCUAACACACUGGCUGUCUCCAAAAAAGUGUAAAUUGACUCAUUCUUCCCUUCAAUUUUUUUUUUUUUAAAUCUUAGAAGCUUAGCUUCAGCAAUUAUGAAUAUAUAUGUAUAUUUAGGUGAACAGUUGUACCCCGCCCUAGGUACUGGAGUUGUACCCCAGGAUCUCACGCAUACCAGGCAAAGUUCUACCACUAAGUCACACCCCCAACCCCUGCGUGUAGCUUUUAAUUCAGAACAUAUUACACAUCUGCUUUUUAAAGCACCUGGGAAGUGUUUGCUACUGAAGAGGGAGAAGUUUGUGGGGACCACAGCCACGAGGAGGAGCGGCGCGGCGGGGAGCUGGGGGAUUUGGCGCGUGGGCGUACCUUGCGGGCGGUUGGGGCAGGGGGCGCAGUGCACCCCGGCCUCCGGGCGCGUGCCCCCCCAUGUCCCCGCCCCACAGCCCAGACAGCAGGUCGCGGCCCAACGGCCCCAGCCAGUCCCCGCUCAGAGCCGAGGAACCAGACCAUGUUCCGCCUAAUGGUGCUGCUUGCUGGGCUCCGUGGCUUGUUCACGUCAACAUCCAGUAAGCCAAAGGAGAUACUGUUUUCAGGUGAGGGGCCGAGGAAGGACUUUCCUCUUUGAAUGUGUGCUGCUGUCCUCCAGUGGUGACCCAUGGAGCCAAAGCUCGCGUCACCUUGGAAACCGGGCCUCCUUUGAUUACUCCCCUGGGCCAGAGAAGCGACUCGUAGGGGGCAAUAUAAUUUUGAUAAGCUCAAGGACAAAUCUCUAUUCUGAAUCUGAAUUUGGGGACUACCUUUCUGUGGCUCUGUCAUUCAUGUCCAAAUCUCAAGUUUUCAGGCUCUUCAAAAAGUACUUCAGAAACUUCUUGAACUCCAAACUCAACAAAACAAACAAAAACCCAAAACCCUGACUGCUGGGAAAACUGUUUGUUCUAAAAUAAAAGAUUGUGCUGCAUACAAUAAUAAUUUGUCCUGAAAUAAAUAAAAAAAAAAUUCAGUGAAGAUGCAAAGGUACUAAGGAGAGAUAAGAACAUUGGGAAGAGGCCUCACAAAUUUAAAACAGAGCUAAGGAGGAUUAGAUGCCUGUAAAAUAUUUUGAUACUUAUUUUUAUUCUUUACCUUUUUACACCUUGUUCUGAAUCUUGCCAUCUGUGUCAGCACAUGGAGUGCCUUUCCCCUUUCAUCUCUCUAAUGUUCUAUUAUUUGGAAGUAACCAAUUUAGCAGUUUUUCUAUUAAUGAACUUUUGGAUUAUUUACAAUCUAUAUUAGCUCCAGCUGCCUUAACAAAAUACCAUAGACUGUAUAGUUGAAAAGACCGAAAUGAAUUUUCUCACAGUGGGGGGUCUGGAAGGCCAAGAGCAGAGUAUGGCAUGGUUAGGUUUUAGUGAUUCCCCCCCUCCCCUGGCUUAUAAACAAUUGCCUUCUACAUGUGUACUCCCACAUGACCUCUCUGUGUCAAGCUUUCUAGGUCUCUUCUUAUAAGGGUAUUAAUCCCAACAUAAGGGUCCUACAGUAUGACCUCAUCUGACCCUAAGCACUUCCCAGAGGCCAUCACUAAAUACUGUCACACUGGGACUUAAGGAUUCAGCAUGAGAAUUUUGUGGGGUUGCAUUCAGUUUAUAUACCACACGAAAUAUUUUAAUGCAGUGGUUGUUAAACUUUUUGGAUUCAGAAUUUCUUUACACAUUAACAGUUUUGUUUAUGUGUG